rnacentral:rRNA from 1 species
GGGUCAGUAGGUUGGUCGUGCCACCGGUACGUACUGGUCUCACCGAUUCCUCCUUCCUGAAGAACCGUAAUGCCAUUAAUUUGGUGUUGCGGGGAAACAGGACUGUUACUUUGAAAAAAUUAGAGUGUUUAAAGCAAGCUAACGCUUGAAUACAUUAGCAUGGAAUAAUGAAAUAGGACGAUCGAUCCUAUUUUGUCGGUUUCUAGGAUUGACGUA